UCUUAGGAUGUCCCUCACAUGGUGGUGCACUUACGGAUGGACAUCGCAAGUGAAGAAGACUAAGCUUCCCAGUCUCAAUUACUUAAAGAGUUCACUGACAUUUGCAAUAUCGACAAGGCAUGGAUAUUUAAGUCUGAAAAUGGUAAAGGCUCCAAGUCUGUUGAAACAAGAAAGGGAAGAGAUUCUAAGAUGUUUUGCUGUUGCUUUUUCUUGAAUCUCUUGGGCCUACCAAAACCUGCAAUGAAAGGCUGCAUUUCCAUUCCGCCAAAAACAUACUAAUGUGACUGGAUUUGUAUCCGAGGAUAUAGCUUUGAAGUGUCCUGAAAAUAUUUUCAAGGGACGAGGUGUGAUUGCUUCUACUUUUAAGGCUGUCCCUCACAUGGUGGUGCACUUAGGGAUGGACAUCGCAACUGAAGAAGACUAAGCUUCCCAAUCUCAAUUACUUAAGGGGUUCUCUGACAUUUGCAACAUCAACAAGGCAUGGAUACUUAAGUCCAAAAAUGGUAAAAGCUUCAAGUCUGUUGAAACAAGAAAGGAAAGAGAUUUUUGUGAAGGUUGCAUCUUCUCUUGAUCGUGAAGAUUAAUGUGCACUUGACUUUGCACAUGUGUCAUAGAAGAGGCUAAUGCCUUGUUUUACUCAAUUAUGUUGUUUAUAAGUGCCUGUGUUUUAGUUUAAGCAACGAUUACCUUACAAGAUGUUUUUUGAACAAUUAUUGAAUGCUGUUCAGCACUUUUGGAAUAUGAAUAUGAUAGCUUGCCCUUCUUGGUUUGUCAUGGUUGAUUUGCAAUUGGUGUUAUUUUGUCAAUGUAAUGCAUUCCCUACUUAUUAUUGGUCUUCCAAGCAUUGUAAGGUACAAUUUUGAUACAAACAUGCCAAGCACCUUAUAUUUUUUUCUAGUUGGUAUUGGCUAUUCUGAUGCAUUUUGAAUCAAUGGAUCUCAUUUUAUUUUGGUUGCAUUUACAGGAGCUUUCAUGUAAUCAAACAACUUUUUUCUGCAAAUAACUCUAUGCAAUUUCUUGUAGUUUGGAGAGACAGGAUUGAGAAUACUGCGUUGGCAUUGGGAAUUUUUGUCAUGCUCAUUGCUUUAGUAUUCUGUUUUAGGGUAAAGGCAAAAGCCUCGAUUCUUUAUGAUUGCAGUUGUUAUUGUUGUUGAUGCAUAAGUUUCAGACAAGAAAACCUCGGGCUUUUGCGUUUACCUUUGUUCUUGGAGUGCACCCAACCUUUUCGACAAUCUUAUUCCUAUGUUGCCCUAUUCUUGGUAA